GGAGAGGUACCGAAGUGGUUAUAACGGGUCCGCCUCGAAAGCGGAUGAACCCUUUACCGGGUUCCGUGGGUUCGAAUCCCACCCUCUCCGCCA
rnacentral:tRNA from 1 species